rnacentral:lncRNA from 1 species
AUGCAUUUUAAGAAGAAUCAGCUCCUCGGAAGUGGGGAGAAAAUAUAUUACUGGACUUUGCAGAGGCCAACACGCCCCAGCAGUCACCUUACUGAAACACAGUGGUUUCAGCUUUCUGAAGAGGUGAUCUCCGGUGAUCUGUCCUGGACUUGGUUGGUGUUCGUGGUUGGUGUGAAUGGGGAGCAGGGAAGUGUUGCCUUGGCCUGUGCACGGCGGUAAUGUUGCUCCUUUCUCUCCUUUGUUUAGAGAGGUACUCUAGCCACUGUGUAAAGAACAUUGUUCUUCGUAGAUGGAAAGGAAGAUAACCAGAGCUCCUCUCUAAGGCCAACGCUGCUGUGAGUGCUGGCUGCUGAAGGCUGUCAGUCCCAGGUUCCCCUCCAGGAGUUGUCAUCAGCUACAGGGAGCUGCUUUU